GACGAGGGGUCCAAGCGUUGUUCGGAAUCAUUGGGCGUAAAGAGCGUGUAGGCGGCCUGAAAGGUCAGCUGUGAAAACUCGAGGCUCAACCUCGAGACGUCGGUUGAAACCAUCUGGCUAGAGUCCGGAAGAGGAGUGUGGAAUUCCCGGUGUAGCGGUGAAAUGCGCAGAUAUCGGGAAGAACACCCGUGGCGAAGGCGGCACUCUGGGACGGUACUGACGCUGAGACGCGAAAGCGUGGGGAGCGAACAGG
rnacentral:rRNA from 1 species